rnacentral:rRNA from 1 species
UACGAAGGGGGCUAGCGUUGUUCGGAAUUACUGGGCGUAAAGCGCACGUAGGCGGAUGUCUAAGUCGGGGGUGAAAGCCUUGGGCUCAACCCAAGAAUUGCCUUCGAUACUGGAUAUCUUGAGACCGGGAGAGGUGAGUGGAAUUCCGAGUGUAGAGGUGAAAUUCGUAGAUAUUCGGAAGAACACCAGUGGCGAAGGCGGCCCGCUGGGCAGUGGCUGACGCUGAGGCGCGACAGCGUGGGGAGCAAACAGG